rnacentral:rRNA from 1 species
CAGCACCCCGAGUGGUCGGGACGAUUAUUGGGCCUAAAGCAUCCGUAGCCGGUUCUACAAGUCUUCCGUUAAAUCCACCUGCUUAACAGAUGGGCCGCGGAGGAUACUAUAAGACUAGGAGGCAGGAGAGGCAAGCGGUACUCAGUGGGUAGGGGUAAAAUCCGUUGAUCCAUUGAAGACCACCAGUGGCGAAGGCGGCUUGCCAGAAUGCGCUCGACGGUAAGGGAUGAAAGCUGGGGGAGCAAACCGGAUUAGAUACCCGAGUAGUCC